rnacentral:lncRNA from 1 species
CAGAGUUGCUGGAGUUGAGAUGACUGCGGCCACCGUCGGGACCUGCAAGGGAAGUCUAAACUGGAGUUAGGAGUGCUCCGGCAAGACCCUCCGAUGCUCAAGUCCAUACUCUGCUUCAACAGAAAUGGAGUGCUCGAGUGGAAAUUUUAGCACAGUUUUGAGAUGGAGUUUAGAGCGUAGAGAAGAAUAUAUCUGGGGGUUCCUUU